rnacentral:rRNA from 1 species
AAUAGUGGUCAAUGGGGGCAACGCUGAUCCAGCCAUGCCGCGUGUGUGACGAAGGUCUUCGGAUUGUUAAGCACUUUAAGGUGGGAGGAUGGGCUGUAGGCUAAUAUCCCGACGCAUUGACGGUACCAACAGAAUAAGUACCGGCUAACUCUGUGCUUGCAGCCGCGGAAAUACAGAGGGUGCAAGCAUUAAUCGGAAUUACUGGGAGUCAAGCGCGCGUAGGUGGUUCAGUAAGAUGGGUGUGAAAUCCCCGGGCUUAACCUGGGAACUGCUUUCAUAACUGCUGAGCUAGAGUACGGUAGAGGGUAGUGGAAUUUCCUGUGUAGCGGUGAAAUGCGUAGGUAUAGGAAGGAACACCAGUGGCGAAGGCGACUACCUGGACUGAUACUGACACUGAGGUGCGAAAGCGUGGGGAGCAAAC